rnacentral:rRNA from 1 species
UACGAAGGGGGCUAGCGUUGCUCGGAAUCACUGGGCGUAAAGGGUGCGUAGGCGGGUCUUUAAGUCAGGGGUGAAAUCCUGGAGCUCAACUCCAGAACUGCCUUUGAUACUGAACGAUCUUGAGUCCGGGAGAGGUGAGUGGAACUGCGAGUGUAGAGGUGAAAUUCGUAGAUAUUCGCAAGAACACCAGUGGCGAAGGCGGCUCACUGGCCCGGUACUCGACGCUGAGGCACGAAAGCGUGGGAGCAAACAGGAUU